AUUGAACGCUGGCGGCAUGCUUUACACAUGCAAGUCGAACGGUAACAGGGUGCUUGCGCCGCUGACGAGUGGCGAACGGGUGAGUAAUGCGUCGGAACGUGCCGAGUAGUGGGGGAUAACGCAGCGAAAGUUGUGCUAAUACCGCAUACGUACUGAGGUAGAAAGUGGGGGACCUUCGGGCCUCACGCUAUUCGAGCGGCCGACGUCCGAUUAGCUAGUAGGUGAGGUAAAGGCUCACCUAGGCGACGAUCAGUAGCGGGUCUGAGAGGAUGGUCCGCCACACUGGGACUGAGACACGGCCCAGACUCCUACGGGAGGCAGCAGUGGGGAAUUUUGGACAAUGGGCGAAAGCCUGAUCCAGCCAUGCCGCGUGUCUGAAGAAGGCCUUCGGGUUGUAAAGGACUUUAAGUUGGGAGGAAGGGUUGUAAGCUAAUAUCUUGCAGCUUUGACGUUACCAACAGAAUAAGCACCGGCUAACUCUGUGCCAGCAGCCGCUGUAA
rnacentral:rRNA from 1 species